UAGCCAUUCUGACUGGUGUGAGGUUGAAUCUCAGGGUUGUUUUGAUUUGCAUGUCUGUGAUGUUGAUUGAUGUUUUCUAUUUAUAUCUUUCUGUAGAACUGGAUUUGUAGAUAGAUCAUUUUAAAAUUUUAUUUUAUCAUGGAGUGUCUUUCUAUUUUCACUUAUCAUGAUUAAAAUUUUUGCUAGUUAUAGUAGUCUUGGCUGGCAUAUGUAACCUCUUAAAGUUUAUAGAACAUCAUCUAGGCCUUCUGGCUUUUAGAGUCUCCCUUGAAAAGUUGCAUGUUAUUCUUAUUGGUCUGCAUUUAUAUAUUACUUAGUCUGUAUUUCUUGCAACUUUUAAUAUUCGACUUUUUCUACAACUUUAGUGUUUUGGUUAUUAUGUGUGGAGGGAAUUUUUUUUUUUUGGUCCAAUAUAUUAGGUUUUCCUUUUGCGUUUUGUAACUUGAUAGGCAUUUCAUUCUUCAGGUAAGGGAAAUUUUCUUCUCUAUAUUUUAAAAAAUAUUGGACGCACCUUUGGCAUGGGUUUCUUCUCCUUCCUUUAUUCCAGUUAUUCAUAGGUUUUGUCUUUUCAUAGUGUUUCAGAGUUCCUAUCCAGGAACAUUUAGAUUCACCAGUUUCUUUGACAGGGUUAUUCUUUCUUCUAUGUCUUCAAUGCCUGGGAUUCUUUCUUCUACCUCUUGUAUUCUUUUGGUGAGGCUUGUACUUGAGGUUCCUGAUUUUAAGUUUCUAAAAUUUUCAUUUUCACAUUUCCCUCAGUUUGAGUUCUCUUUACUGAUUCUAUUUCUAUUUUCAGGUAUUGAACCACUUUAUUCAUUUCCGCUACUGCUUGUUUGCCUCUCAUAGAUUUAAGUGACUUAUUUAUUUCUCUUUGAGGCCUCCUAUCAUAUUCAUAAAGGCAUUAUCAAUUAAACUCCUUGUCUUAGGCUACAGCUGUUAUAUUUCUAGGGGUCUACUAUAGGAGUAUUUUUAGGAUCUAGAAAAGAAAUAUUUUCCUGAGUGUUAUAGGAUUUUUAAUUCUGGAGACUAGGCUUCUGGGCUGGGUUCAUUGUUUUAUGGGUGCUUGUAUCUGGUCUUCUGUUUGUUGGGUUGAGGUUUUAUUCAUUGGCUUCUAUUGCCCUUUUCAGCAUAUAGGAAUGUGUGUGGGAUGUAUAAUGCCUGGUAGCUAAUUCUCCAGGGUGCUGCCAGGUGUGGCCACAGGUGUUUCUAGUUAGAAUGUGCAUUGGGAACAAAUGUUUAGGAACAGAAAUUGACUGAAAGCUAGGGUUGGGGAUGAAGAUGGGGCUGAGUUGGCACAUGAUCUUCAGGAAGAGGAAGUAAUACAGCAUGCUCCAACAAGAUCUUCUUAGUCUACUAGGAAGAAGCAUAGAGAGUAAGGUACAGAGUGAGGCAAGACCACACCAUGUAGUCUGCUACAGAUCUGGGAAUGGAUGUGGGGGAUUUCAUUUGGAGGAGAAGAGGAAAUGUAAAAUCUGAGGUUUGCCUUCCUACUUAGUUUACAUUCUUGGUUCUCUGGAAGGCUUAUCUGUUUUUUUGUUUAUUUGUUUGUUUGUUUUUUGUUUUCUUUUUUUGUUUUUGUUUGUUUUUUUUUCCUGCAAGGUAGUCACCUGAAUAGUUGGUAGCUGGGACAAUUGGAUGAGAAGGCAGGAGUUGGAGAACUGCUGGACAUGUGAGCUGGGAGCAAUGGAAGGUCUCAGCAACAGAUCUGCUAUAGAGCUGGGGGCAAGCCUACCUUCUUGAGUAGUAAUUUUAAUUUUUCUCUUGACAUGUCUGUUUUCACAAUUCCAUGGACACAGCAUUGCAUCAUCUCCAAAUCACCAGAGUUUAUUUAAAAAGUUCUUUUGGCAUCUCCCCUGCUGCCACCAGCUAUCUGAAUUUUAGUAUCUGUAGUCAAAUAUGUUUUGCUCCUGUACCUGUUAACAUCGAAAAAGGUGUUCUUUUUAGCAUGUUAGCUCAGGCUUGAGGAUUUUGACUGUUCUUCUCAGCCUUUCCCAAAGAUAAUUAUUUUUCUUUUGAAGAAAAAAAAAAGUUUUCCUCCUGAUAAAAUUUCUAAACUUUGGGUGGUUUUCUCAGGAAAUGUAAAAGUCGUUCCUCAUUCAUGUUGGAGUUGUCCUCCUAUUCCUUUCACGUUGUGAGCCAUGGCAUCAAUCUUUCAUGUACUUGUUUCAAGAUGCUGCAUUAACUGUUUCCUGGAGCUACAUGAACAAAUGCCUGUUCUCCUCACAUAAGGUUGCAAUGUCAGAUGCAAAUCACAGUUGCAUCCAAGUCCAACUUUCUAGGUGACCCAAAAGCAGCCACAUCACAGCAAAGUCUCAUAGAGGCAUGGAUGAAGCUACCUUAUAGUAGCCGCAUCCUGGAGUUCUUCAUUUUCGUAUAGACUUUCAUGUUCUAUUGUUACAGAGUUCAAGAUCAAUUGGAAAUACCACAUGCCUGUCAAGUUUUAACAAGACUGCAGGAACUACUACCUAGACUGAAUCUAGCAAGGAUUUUUAAAGGCAAAAACUGCAUUUACACAAUUACUUUCCCAAGGACAUGAGAUAAAAUCCUAAGUCUUUUGCAUGGAGCAAUUAAGCAAAUAUUCUCCUCCCUCUUUCUACAAUAUAUGUUGCCAUUAUUAUACACCUAGAUAUCAUUUUUCUGUUCUGAUCAGCUAGAUCCUGGCUUCUUGGGUCAAGGUAAUCACUCU
rnacentral:lncRNA from 1 species